rnacentral:tRNA from 1 species
GCCCCGGUAUCCCAAUGGCAGAGGAAGGCGUCUUAAACACGUUUCAGUGUGGGUUCGAGUCCCACCCGGGGCACCU